GAAACUGUGGUUAGCUGUAGAGAGUCAUCUGUAAAACCCAGUUCUUCCUUCCUCAUAUAUAUUUUUAAGUGAAGGAUAUUCUCAAAGGGUACAUGGACAAAUCUCAUAAAGAUUUUCUGAGAUAACAAAGUAGCAUAAAAGUCAGUAAUUCCUAAAGUCUUUUUGAUCAUGGCUUUUUUUUGUGGGGAAGUAAGAGGUAAUAAUAUCAUCUAUCUUUUCUCUCCUUUUGGAAUUUUCUAUUGUUUGAGUUGUCAUGACAACUAAUUACUGAAUGUCUGUAACAUCAUGUCACCUUCAGCAUGGAUUCCUUCUCUAUAUACUUCAUCAAAUCCAGCUGUUCUUCCUAAUUCCAUCUUCUACAAAUGGUGAUCAUGGAUGGAAUAAAUUAAGCUGAGGAAUAGCACGAUGGCUCCUCAAUGAGAUCCAUCACCAAUCAAAAGAGCAUGAUGAAUAUGGAAAUAUCUUUAGAAGAAUCGCAAGUUUAACUUCUAUUGGAUUGCAUGUUGUUUUGGGAAGGAGUGGGGGAAGAAAAGAGAAAAAUUUGGAAUACAAGGUUUUGCAAAGGUUCACACCUCCUAUGGAGCUGGAGAGGGAGCGAGAUGAAGAAGUAGGAGUCAAGUUGUACUUGCUAAACCUCAUGAGACAGGACACACCUGGAACCAAAGGGCUGAUCGAUUGGCAUAAUCCAAAGCAAGAUCCAAGCAGGCAAAUAGAAAUGAGGUUGAAGUAAAAGUCAGUUCACAAAGGCAGCUUUGAAGAAGCAAAAGCUGCAGGUUGAGAAUGGAAUCCAAGAUUAACAAGUCAUAACCAAAUUAGAAUCAGGUAAACAGAAAGUCAGGCCAAGGUCAAAGCCAGGAGUUCCUAAAAGCAACUGGUCCAGAGAGCUGAGCAGGAAACUGGGAAGUGAGUUAGAGAGCAAAAUCUUCCAGAACUGGCUUAGGUUUAUAAUAAACAAAGUCAAGAAAAUACCAGAAGGAGUAAACAUGAAGUGCUUGUGACUGAUGGUUUGUCUUACAUGAGAAAUUACUCAAUCAAUCAAUCAAAAG